AUGAAUGUUGUUGCUGCGCUGAGUUACAAGAUCAGUAAUCAGAAAGUGAUUCAAACACGUACUACUGUUUUAUCCCCUGAAAGAGAUCUUGUUCGAACAAUUAGUACUUGUAUUUUCCGCUUAUUUACCUAUGGGAUGUUGUAUGAUUGUAAUUUUUUUUGGAACUGGCAAGGCAUCUCUCUUCCCUGGCACUGUCAGUUCCUUUUGGGUCUAAAUUAUGCCAGUAUUUCCUUUGGGUGCUUUGCCCAGGAGAGGUUACUUGUUGUCUUGUUGACUCAGUUUUCUCUAUGUCUGUCCGUCGGUCUCUGA
rnacentral:rRNA from 1 species